CUGUAAGGGAGACAGAACUUGCAUGUCAAGAGCAGAGGAGGGCUGUGCACCCUGCAUGUGGAAGACCCCCAGAGCGGGGAGACCCUCACUCAAGUCUCAGGAUGAUGCCACCCCCCAAGAACACAUGUAAGACC
rnacentral:pre_miRNA from 14 species